rnacentral:misc_RNA from 1 species
UUACCGUUGGCCUGACACUUAAGACGCAUGCCUUACGCGCACAAUUCGUUUUCCGAAUGUGCCAGCCCCUUCGAAGGAACGAUGCAAUUCAGCGAUCUCUGGCGCUUAACCCAUGACGCCAUUUCGCAUCACAAUCGGCGAGAAAUAAUGUCAUUUCGACUACCCUGUUGUCGAUGAAUCAUCUUAGGUAUUUGUCAGAUGAUCAGUUCACGAACUUUCUGGAGCCAUUCAAUGAAGAAGAAAGUCGCUAAGCGCACACGCNNNNNNNNNNNNNAAGCAGGUGGAAGCCUAUUUGGAUCGAGAGGAAGAACUUGCGAUCGGAGAGGGAAGUGACUUGGUGCUUCAGUAUCUCGGAACGUGCCGAAUAGCGCUUACGACGUGUCAAUUGCUGGGUAUCAGACUGCAGCGCCCAGGAAAUAUGAGCGCACAACAGAUGCCUUGAUCACUUUCGAUUACCACCGUUAUAUUCACUUAUCUAACAACAGGAGAAAGACGCGACGAAUACAGUUCUU